GGUAAGAUGGCCGAGUGGUUAAGGCGAGCGGCUUAAGUCCGCUUGACGAAAGUCAGCCUGGGUUCGAACCCCAGUCUUACCA